rnacentral:misc_RNA from 1 species
UCAAACUUGGUCAUUUAGAGGAAGUAAAAGUCGUAACAAGGUUUCCGUAGGUGAACCUGCGGAAGGAUCAUUACCAAAUUAUCCAAAACACCAACCAUAUUAUGGAUAAUUUAAUCCAUAUCCACCUUGUGUGCAUCAUAGAUCUGUUGUUGGCAGGGUUUAAGGCAUCUAUCUGCUCUUCCUGCCAAUUUUAUUCGUUUAAACAUGUCUAUAUUUACUGGUCUAAACUUAAAAACAAAAAUAAAAUAAAUACAACUUUCAACAACGGAUCUCUUGGCUCUCGCAUCGAUGAAGAACGCAGC